AGAGUUUGAUCAUGGCUCAGGAUGAACGCUAGCGGCAGGCUUAACACAUGCAAGUCGAGGGGCAGCAUUUCGGAUUUAUUCGAAGAUGGCGACCGGCGCACGGGUGAGUAACGCGUAUGCAACCUACCUUUAACUCGGAGAUAGCUCAGAGAAAUCUGAAUUAAUAUCCCAUAAUAGAAUAAUUGGCAUCUUUUAUUCUCAAAGCUCCGGCGGUUAAAGAUGGGCAUGCGUGACAUUAGCUAGAUGGUGAGGUAACGGCUCACCAUGGCGACGAUGUCUAGGGGGCCUGAAAGGGUGAUCCCCCACACUGGUACUGAGACACGGACCAGACUCCUACGGGAGGCAGCAGUGAGGAAUAUUGGUCAAUGGGCGCAAGCCUGAACCAGCCAUGCCGCGUGCAGGAUGACAGCCCUACGGGUUGUAAACUGCUUUUGUACGGGAAGAAACCCUCGCUCGUGAGCGAGGGNGANGG
rnacentral:rRNA from 1 species